UACAGAGGUCUCAAGCGUUGUUCGGAUUCAUUGGGCGUAAAGGGUGCGUAGGCGGCGCGGUAAGUCGGGUGUGAAAUCUCGGAGCUUAACUCCGAAACUGCAUUCGAUACUGCCGUGCUUGAGGACUGGAGAGGAGACUGGAAUUUACGGUGUAGCGGUGAAAUGCGUAGAUAUGCGGAGGAACACCGAUGGCGAAGGCAAUCCCCUGGGCCUGCACUGACACUCAUGCACGAAAGCGUGGGGAGCAAACAGG
rnacentral:rRNA from 1 species